UACGAAGGGGGCUAGCGUUGCUCGGAAUGACUGGGCGUAAAGGGCGCGUAGGCGGAUGGCAUAGUCAGAUGUGAAAUUCCCCGGGCUUAACCUGGGGACUGCAUUUGAUACGUGUCGUCUUGAGUUCGGAAGAGGGUCGUGGAAUUCCCAGUUGUAGAGGUGAAAUUCGUAGAUAUUGGGAAGAACACCAGUGGCGAAGGCGACUUACUGGACACAUAUUGACGCUGAGGUGCGAAAGCGUGGGGAGCAAACAGGG
rnacentral:rRNA from 1 species